UUGCAGUUAAAAAGCUCGUAGUUGGAUUUCUGUGGGGGCGGAGCGGCCGGCCGCAACUUGCGGUUCGAGCUAGCGCUUCCCCUACAUCCUGCCGCGAACCGUGCUACCAUUAGUUUGGUGGCGCCGGGGAUCGGCUCGUUUACUUUGAGAAAAAUAGAGUGUUCAAAGCAGGCCACACGCCUUGAAUAAGAUAGCAUGGAAUAAUAAUAAAGGACUUCGGUUCUAUUUUGUUGGUGUUCGGGACUGAAGUAAUGAUUGAUAGGGACAGUUGGGGCGGUCAGUAUUCCAAAGCGAGAGGUGAAAUUCUUAGACCUUCGGAAGACUAACAGCUGCGAAAGCGUUCCGCAAGGAUGUUCCCUUUGAUCAAGAACGAAAGUUGGGGGAUCGAAGACGAUCAGAUACCGUCGUAGUCUCAACUAUAAACUAUACCAGCUAGGGAUCGGCCAACGUUUACUUACAUCGACUUGGUCGGCACCUUAUGAGAAAUCAAAGCAUCUGGGUUCCGGGGGGAGUAUGGUCGCAAGGCUGAAACUUAAAGGAAUUGACGGAAGGGCACCACCAGCCGUGGAGCCUGUGGCUUAAUUUGACUCAACACGGGAAAACUUACCAGGUCCAGACAUAGUAAGGAUUGACAGAUUGAUAGCUCUUUCUUGAUUCUGUGGGUGGUGGUGC
rnacentral:rRNA from 1 species